GCCUUCAUAGUGUAGUGAUUAGCACACUCGAUCCAUAUUCGAGAGGUCCGUGGUUCGAGUCCCGGUGAGGGUG
rnacentral:tRNA from 1 species